UACGUAGGUGGCAAGCGUUGUCCGGAGUUAUUGGGCGUAAAGCGCGCGCAGGCGGUUGGAUAAGUCCAUGGUGAAAGCGCCUGGCUCAACUAGGCGAGUGCCGUGGGGACUGUUCAGCUGGAGUGGAGCAGAGGCGAGUGGAAUUCCGGGUGUAGUGGUGAAAUGCGUAGAGAUCCGGAGGAACACCAGAGGCGAAGGCGGAUCUCUGGGCCAUUACUGACGCUGAGGCGCGAGAGCGUGGGGAGCGAACCGG
rnacentral:rRNA from 1 species